CGGAUUUUAAUCCGUCCAAGGACUGUCUCAACUCGACACCUCUACGAAAUUUGUCCAGAAAUGUUUUUUGCCACUCCAACGACAACAACUCGUCAGCGAUUAUCUUUAUGAAAUUCACUUUCAUCAAGACCAGUAUUUUUUGAUUGGCUUGACUACAUUUGUAACUACAAUUUGAAUUUGCCUUCCUAGUGAUGUGGUUGACUCCGAGGUUAAAGUCCUACUUUCACGGAAGUAGCGUGCAGAGAGAAACAAAAUGCCACACAUCAUAUUUUUCUAUUUCGCGACAAGCUUUGUAAUUACAUCUAAAAAUCCGUAUUCACUAGUCCCUGGUUUCUGGCUCCACUGUGAAUGACGGUCAGUGCUUGUCAGAAGUUAGUUGCGACCGAAGUCUAGUCUGUUGAUGCUCCUAGGAGUCGAUUCCGCCCAAUGCAGGUGAUUGAAGAGAUGAUUUCUGCGAAAGCACACCAGCAGGAACUGCUUGGAAAGGAGUUCAUUAUGCUCCUUAACUGGGAGCAAACGGGUGUCCACAGGUGUUUGAUAAGAGACAUCAAGAGGCAUCAUGUCGUAGUUCGGAGUGCAGUGUUCUGACAAGUUUGGAGCUUCCUCGUCUGCGUUUCACUGCAUACAGGCGACUAUAUUGGUGCGGCAUAGUUAAUAACCGGCGAUUGUCUUGUCAGUUGCUAACUACGUUUCUUUGUUCUUUCCUCAUGUGCUGCUCGCUAGGGACUUGAGGAUAUUGUUGAGGCUCCGAGGAGAGAAAGGUCGGAGAGAUAGCCAUUGCCUUUGGACACAUGCCAUCGACUCCAUUCGUUCAUUCAUUCCUGACGUCAAUAACUUGAAAUCAUCAGCGUACAAAUUGGUAGAAAACCCCUCUGUUGGUUGCGGUAGUUUCGAGAUGUAAAAGUUAAGCAAUGGCAGGGAGAGGACACCACCCUGCGAAACCCUUGUUUAAUUAUUGUAAUUUUUUUUACCUCGAAAUAGUACGGAUUAUUGACGACCUCUCAGGUAGUUCAUGGCAGUGUUUAAAAAACUGCAGUCGAAUUAGCAGAAGUCGCAAAAUAUAAGCUAUUCGGUGCUUCGACUGUGUGCAACAUUCUAAAAUAAGCAAUUACUUUUGCUUCUGCUUUUGUAAAAAUCAGAAGUCGCAGUCGCAGCACAGAAAAUGGGUCUGGCAGUGAACGAGGGCAGAACGAAAUAUCUCCUGUCAUCAAACAAACAGUCGUCGCAGUCGCGACUUGGCUCUCACGUCACUGUUGACAGUCAUAACUUUGAAGUUGUAGAUAAUUUCGUCUAUUUAGGAACCAGCAGUAACACCACCAACAAUGUCAGCCUGGAAAUCCAACGCAGGAUUGCUCUUGCCAAUAGGUGCUACUUCGGACUGAGUAGGCAAUUGAAAAGUAAAGUCCUCUCUCGACGAACAAAAACCAAACUCUAUAAGUCGCUCAUAACUCCCGGUCUGCUGUAUGGUGCAGAGGCUUGGGCGAUGACAACAACCGAUGAGUCGACGUUACGAGUUUUCGAGAGAAAAAUUCUGCGAAAGAUUUAUGGUCCUUUGCGCAUUGGCCACGGCGAAUAUCGCAUUCGAUGGAACGAUGAGCUGUACGAGAUAUACGACGACAUCGACAUAGUUCAGCGAAUUAAAAGACAGCGGCUACGCUGGCUAGGUCAUGUUGUCCGGAUGGAUGAAAACACUCCAGCUCUGAAAGUAUUCGACGCAAUACCCGCCGGGGGAAGCAGAGGAAGAGGAAGACCUCCACCCCGUUGGAAGGACCAAGUGGAGAAGGACCUGACUUCGCUUCGAAUAUCCAAUUGGCGCCACGUAGCGAAAAGAAGAAACGACUGGCGCGCUGUUGUUAACUCGGCUAUAAUCGCGUAAGUGGUGUCUACGCCAAUUAAGAAGAAGAAGAAGAAGAAGUCGCAGUCGAAGCAUUGGCCAAAAUCAUGAAAGCAACGAAAAGCAAAAAUCAUCAGCAGGCCCCGCUUCUCGUUUUCUUGCUUCUGAUUUGCUGUUGCUUUCAAUCGUAGACGAAAGUCGAUGCUGUGGCAGGUGUCGGCUUUCGGAAGUCGUCAGCAGUCGAAACCUUAAAAAAGAGGCAUUCGAUAAGACGAUAUUGCGCGGUGUUGUACAGUAUGAAGGCUAGGCCUUACUCAAGAUCUUUACGUAAAACGUUGAAGCCUGCACAACUCAGAAGAUCCUUGCUGCAAGGCGUUGCUCCAGUGACGACAAGCUUACGCUAAGACUUACCAAUCUAAACGGGGUUAGAUCUCCGCAAUAACAAUAUGGAUGGCCGGAUAAAACUCGUGUCAAUUCCGGUGCGUUGAACCGACUGUUGUGGGAAUUGCUGGAAAUUUUGAUUUUGAAUUAUGUUGAAAUCACUGAAACCGUAUCGAAUGCCCCUAUUGCGGUUUUCAACCCGACUUGGUCGAAUUGAAGUUAAUGCCCCUAUUGCGGUUUUCAACCCAACUGCAUUUCAGUCGAAGUUUAAAAAUUCGGUAUUGCCAACUUCAACUCAAUCCGUCAAAAAAAUUGCGGUUGAAGUAUGAUCUAACUUCAACUUUUUUUGGUAUUGCGGUUUUCAACUCUGUACAAGUGGGGUUGACUAGUAUAUAAAUAAACUUCAACUGCUUAAUAGCAGUUGAAGUUCAACAUUCGUGCAGUGAAAUACAAAAAAAUAUUAAAGAAAAAUGGAGGACGGAAGAAAUAAAGUUGCAACAAAAAACCAAUUCGAAAAAUUGGUGGAGUUAAUGGAGAAGCUUCCAGAAGUAGGAAGAGGAAAGCCACCAUUUGGAAACAAUAAAUUCAAAUUGAGGUGCAGCGCCUCAAAAUUGGUAAAUUAAAAUCUUCGCAAAGAUUUUAAUUUUUUUUGGUUAUUUAAGACACAAAGUAAUAUUUUUUUUAUUUUAUUUUUAAUAAUUCUGGAAUGAAGUGAUAUUUUAUAUUUUUGUACCAUAGUUUAAGUUUACCUUAAAAAAUGAAGUGAUAUUGUUAUUUAAUGAAUUUAUUUAAAUAAAAUUUAAAUAUAUGCCUGAAUAAAUAGCACAUUAGAAAUAAUAAA